AUUGAACGCUGGCGGCAUGCCUUACACAUGCAAGUCGAACGGCAGCACGGGAGUAAUCCUGGUGGCGAGUGGCGAACGGGUGAGUAAUAUAUCGGAACGUGCCCAGUCGUGGGGGAUAACGCAGCGAAAGCUGUGCUAAUACCGCAUACGAUCUAAGGAUGAAAGCGGGGGAUCGCAAGACCUCGCGCGAUUGGAGCGGCCGAUAUCAGAUUAGCUAGUUGGGGGGGUAAAGGCCCACCAAGGCGACGAUCUGUAGCUGGUCUGAGAGGACGACCAGCCACACUGGAACUGAGACACGGUCCAGACUCCUACGGGAGGCAGCAGUGGGGAAUUUUGGACAAUGGGCGCAAGCCUGAUCCAGCAAUGCCGCGUGCAGGAUGAAGGCCUUCGGGUUGUAAACUGCUUUUGUACGGAACGAAACGGCCCUUUCUAAUACAGGGGGCUAAUGACGGUACCGUAAGAAUAAGCACCGGCUAACUACGUGCCAGCCGCCGCCGUAAUAC
rnacentral:rRNA from 1 species